rnacentral:rRNA from 1 species
GAACGCUGGCGGCAUGCCUUACACAUGCAAGUCGAACGGUAACAGGUCUUCGGAUGCUGACGAGUGGCGAACGGGUGAGUAAUACAUCGGAACGUGCCCGAUCGUGGGGGAUAACGAGGCGAAAGCUUUGCUAAUACCGCAUACGAUCUACGGAUGAAAGCGGGGGAUCUUCGGACCUCGCGCGGACGGAGCGGCCGAUGGCAGAUUAGGUAGUUGGUGGGAUAAAAGCUUACCAAGCCGACGAUCUGUAGCUGGUCUGAGAGGAUGAUCAGCCACACUGGGACUGAGACACGGCCCAGACUCCUACGGGAGGCAGCAGUGGGGAAUUUUGGACAAUGGGCGAAAGCCUGAUCCAGCCAUGCCGCGUGCAGGAUGAAGGCCUUUGGGUUGUAAACUGCUUUUGUACGGAACGAAAAGCCUCUUUCUAAUAAAGAGGGGUCAUGACGGUACCGUAAGAAUAAGCACCGGCUAACUACGUG